rnacentral:rRNA from 1 species
CCUGUCUGAAUAUGGGGGGACCAUCCUCCAAGGCUAAAUACUCCUGACUGACCGAUAGUGAACCAGUACCGUGAGGGAAAGGCGAAAAGAACCCCGGCGAGGGGAGUGAAAAAGAACCUGAAACCGUGUACGUACAAGCAGUGGGAGCCUCUUUAUGGGGUGACUGCGUACCUUUUGUAUAAUGGGUCAGCGACUUAUAUUCUGUAGCAAGGUUAACCGAAUAGGGGAGCCGAAGGGAAACCGAGUCUUAACUGGGCGUUAAGUUGCAGGGUAUAGACCCGAAACCCGGUGAUCUAGCCAUGGGCAGGUUGAAGGUUGGGUAACACUAACUGGAGGACCGAACCGACUAAUGUUGAAAAAUUAGCGGAUGACUUGUGGCUGGGGGUGAAAGGCCAAUCAAACCGGGAGAUAGCUGGUUCUCCCCGAAAGCUAUUUAGGUAGCGCCUCGUGAAUUCAUCUCCGGGGGUAGAGCACUGUUUCGGCAAGGGGGUCAUCCCGACUUACCAACCCGAUGCAAACUGCGAAUACCGGAGAAUGUUAUCACGGGAGACACACGGCGGGUGCUAACGUCCGUCGUGAAGAGGGAAACAACCCAGACCGCCAGCUAAGGUCCCAAAGUCAUGGUUAAGUGGGAAACGAUGUGGGAAGGCCCAGACAGCCAGGAUGUUGGCUUAGAAGCAGCCAUCAUUUAAAGAAAGCGUAAUAGCUCACUGGUCGAGUCGGCCUGCGCGGAAGAUGUAACGGGGCUAAACCAUGCACCGAAGCUGCGGCAGCGACGCUGAUGCGUUGUUGGGUAGGGGAGCGUUCUGUAAGCCUGCGAAGGUGUGCUGUGAGGCAUGCUGGAGGUAUCAGAAGUGCGAAUGCUGACAUAAGUAACGAUAAAGCGGGUGAAAAGCCCGCUCGCCGGAAGACCAAGGGUUCCUGUCCAACGUUAAUCGGGGCAGGGUGAGUCGACCCCUAAGGCGAGGCCGAAAGGCGUAGUCGAUGGGAAACAGGUUAAUAUUCCUGUACUUGGUGUUACUGCGAAGGGGGGACGGAGAAGGCUAUGUUGGCCGGGCGACGGUUGUCCCGGUUUAAGCGUGUAGGCUGGUUUUCCAGGCAAAUCCGGAAAAUCAAGGCUGAGGCGUGAUGACGAGGCACUACGGUGCUGAAGCAACAAAUGCCCUGCUUCCAGGAAAAGCCUCUAAGCAUCAGGUAACAUCAAAUCGUACCCCAAACCGACACAGGUGGUCAGGUAGAGAAUACCAAGGCGCUUGAGAGAACUCGGGUGAAGGAACUAGGCAAAAUGGUGCCGUAACUUCGGGAGAAGGCACGCUGAUAUGUAGGUGAAGCGACUUGCUCGUGGAGCUGAAAUCAGUCGAAGAUACCAGCUGGCUGCAACUGUUUAUUAAAAACACAGCACUGUGCAAACACGAAAGUGGACGUAUACGGUGUGACGCCUGCCCGGUGCCGGAAGGUUAAUUGAUGGGGUCAGCGCAAGCGAAGCUCUUGAUCGAAGCCCCGGUAAACGGCGGCCGUAACUAUAACGGUCCUAAGGUAGCGAAAUUCCUUGUCGGGUAAGUUCCGACCUGCACGAAUGGCGUAAUGAUGGCCAGGCUGUCUCCACCCGAGACUCAGUGAAAUUGAACUCGCUGUGAAGAUGCAGUGUACCCGCGGCAAGACGGAAAGACCCCGUGAACCUUUACUAUAGCUUGACACUGAACAUUGAGCCUUGAUG